UUGCGCUCCUUCAAGAUUUAACUCAUGGAAAGAGAGAUAAAGAGAGGAUGGAGGAGCCAACAAUGCUUGGUUGCAUACGAAAGGAUGAGUCAUUGAGUGGAUGGAGAGGCAUGUAAGGGCAGCAGGAUAAAGGCACGAGAGAGAGGAGAACAAUGUACAUGAGAGAGAGUUGCAUGCAGAGGUGGAGGUGGAGGAAGGAAAGAAGCGAGAGGAGAAAGAAAGAAAUGGGAGAGAGAGAGAAAAAGCUAUGGGGUGAAAGAUCUUGGGCAUGUG
rnacentral:lncRNA from 1 species